UACGAAGGGGGCUAGCGUUGCUCGGAAUCACUGGGCGUAAAGGGUGCGUAGGCGGGUUUUUAAGUCAGAGGUGAAAUCCUGGAGCUCAACUCCAGAACUGCCUUUGAUACUGAAAGUCUUGAGUAUGGAGAGGUGAGUGGAACUGCGAGUGUAGAGGUGAAAAUUCGUAGAUAUUCGCAAGAACACCAGUGGCGAAGCGGCUCACUG
rnacentral:rRNA from 1 species